rnacentral:rRNA from 1 species
AAGUCGAGCGUUUUCAAGCUAUGUUGAAAGCGCGGCAUAAGGCUCCGUAACACGUAGUUAACCUACCCUCAGGAUGGAGAUAACCCCUGGGAAACUGGGACUAAUAUCCAAUAAAUGAUUAUGCCUGGAAUGGUUUAUCAUUGAAAGGGCUGAAUACAUGCUUUCAGUAUCACCUGAGGAUGGGACUGCGUCCGAUCAGGUUGUUGGCGGGGUAACGGCCCACCAAGCCUAUAACCGGUACGGGCCCUGAGAGGGGGAGCCCGGAGAUGGAAACUGAGACAAGGUUCCAGGCCCUAUGGGGCGCAGCAGGCGAGAAAACUUUGCAAUGUGCGAAAGCACGACAAGGUUAAUCCGAGUGGUUUGUGCUAAACGAACCUUUUGACAGUCCUAGAAACACUGUUGAAUAAGGGGUGGGCAAGUUCUGGUGUCAGCCGCCGCGGUAAAACCAGCACCUCAAGUGGUCAGGAUGAUUAUUGGGCCUAAAGCAUCCGUAGCCGGCUCUGUAAGUUUUCGGUUAAAUCUGUACGCUCAACGUACAGGCUGCCGGGAAUACUGCAGAGCUAGGGAGUGGGAGAGGUAGACGGUACUCGGUAGGAAGGGGUAAAAUCCUUUUGAUCUAUUGAUGACCACCUGUGGCGAAAGCGGUCUACCAAAAACACGUUCCGACGGUGAGGGAUGAAAAGCUGGGGG